rnacentral:lncRNA from 1 species
AAUAAAGCUAAUAAAAAACCUGACCACUGUUCAUCACAGCAAAUCAGGGUGCUGCUAGGAAACUGCCCCAUGUAAAGAAAUUAUAAGGAAAAUAAACCUGUAAGUGAAACCAUGCUAUAGGUGCACCAGCAAACCAUCCUGACAUUAAAGACAGAUAAGUAGUAAGAGACCAACAUAUCUGCAUCAGUAAUCCUCUAGUGACUUGAAUAUCAAAAAGGAAAUUCUACAGUGAGUAAAAUCAAGGGCAUAUUGUAGAAGCAGUGGCCUGCUUUGGCAAUCCUGACCUUGAUUAACAGCUCUUCUCCCAUGGGAAAGCACAUACCAAAGGGUAAGUCCAGCCAUAAAUACCUGUGCUUUGAUGUACAGCCCAGAAAACUGGGCUGUGAAUGUGUGUGGGAUGAAUGAUAAGAGCCAGAAACAUCAGCUCUACUUUUCCUGUUUUUGUGUGGUGACUUUCUCUCUCCUGCUGGCUGGCUGUCUAAUUGAUGCUAAAACUUGUACACAGAAGAAACAGAUACAAAUCAGAGGGACUGCCAUCUGCACUUAUCAAGACAGUUGUGGACUUUCUUUGAAGCUAGGAGAUGGCCCAGGUGCAUGUUUUGUAGCAGGUGGCUGAGAUGAUUGGAACUGUGACAGAGCAUACAAAUUAUUACAUGGUAAUCCAUAACAUAUUUUCACUAAGAAAGCAUUUGAAAAUUCUAUGUGCAGUUCUGAGUACAUUCAAUUGCUGUUAUGGAAUAUUGCACAGGUUGUUAUUUAGUAUUUUUUUUUUAACAUCUUUCCUUUGAUUUUGUGUUGUGGGUUUUUUGGUUUGUUUUUAUUUUACCUCAGAAAGGUUUGGUACAGCUUUGAUUAAAAAUAUUGAGGCAUAACAAACUACAUAACCCCUUGAGAUUCCAUCCAAAUCUAUACUUCUAUGAUUCAUGUGCAAACUACUGUAUUUUUCUGAGCUGUUGGAGAGCUUUGCAAGUACAAGUUAAUUAUUAAACUAGUUCUUUUCCCAGGGCAAUAAUGACCUAAUCAUUUAUGAUAGUGCUCAAAUGAGGAAUUAAACAAACGUAUCCAGAAUAAACACAGAUCAAAUAAUCUUUGCCAAUGAAAAAGGACAAAAUGUUGUUUUCAUGCCAGUGGGUCUGCAAAACAACAGCAUAGUUGUUAGUCAACUGAUACUUGUUAGUAAAACUAACAAGUGCAGGCUUCUCAACCUGUGAGAAAUUCUACUUUAGUAAUUAUU